CCUACGGGCGGCAGCAGUGAGGAAUAUUGGUCAAUGGACGCAAGUCUGAACCAGCCAUGCCGCGUGCAGGAAGACGGCUCUAUGAGUUGUACACUGCUUUUGUACUCGGGUAAACGCAGAUACGCGUAUCUGUCUGAAAGUAUCGUACGAAUAAGGAUCGGCUAACUCCGUGCCAGCAGCCGCGGUAAUACGGAGGAUUCAAGCGUUAUCCGGAUUUAUUGGGUUUAAAGGGUUCGUAGGCGGUCGGAUAAGUUAGAGGUGAAAUCCCGAGGCUCAACUUCGGAAUUGCCUCUGAUACUGUUCGGCUAGAGAGUAGUUGCGGUAGGCGGAAUGUAUGGUGUAGCGGUGAAAUGCUUAGAGAUCAUACAGAACACCGAUUGCGAAGGCAGCUUACCAAGCUACUUCUGACGUUGAGGCACGAAAGCGUGGGGAGCAAACAGGAUUAGAUACCCCAGUAGUC
rnacentral:rRNA from 1 species